GAAUCUGUAUUUUGGAAAAGCUUAUCAUGCUUACUCUACUAUGUAUUUAGUCGAACCCUGCUUAAUCUUGCCGUGUGGCAUAGCCCAGACCCACUACCCUCGCCAAACAUGGCCAAUAUGGUGUGUGUAAUGUUAGGUCAAAAUCCUUUUAUUUAAGUGUAUAUUUGUGAUGCGUAUGAAAUAAACAAAAUUGUUUGUGUUUGGCACUUCAUGCCUUUUGACGGUCAAUUUCUUGAUCAUGAUCCAAAGAAGCUUUCUUGGUCAGUUUAUCUCACAUCUAAUUAAAUGGCUCCCAAAUAGCUAUUGCUACUAGGACGAUUCUUCGGACUACAUAUCACUCAAUUUCAAUUUUCAUCUGAGUGAGUUUGGAGCCUACGAAUUCAGAUGAUUUUUCGCGAGAGUAGUCCUCUUUUUCUUAGGUGGUGAUGAAACCAUCCCUUCGUAGGAAUCAGGGCCACCGGUUUUGAGAAUUUUAGCAUCACAAUUCACACACGAAGUCUCGCUGCCCUCCCAUCCUUGGUGGUCAGCCCAUAUAGAAUUUUUCAUGGCCCAUAAAAGGACUUUCGAACUCCUCGAGGGUUGGGUUCGAGCAUAGGAUGUUUCCAUGGCCCAAAUCUUCCCGUUAGCAACCUUCUUCUGUCAGUAGCUUCUCCUCUCGCGUUAAUAGCACAACCAUCAGUUGUUGAUAGCAGGUCAAGUACCAUCACUCUGUUAAUAGCAGGUCAAGCAGUGUGACGGAAACGCACGAAAUAAAAAGUCCCCAACAUGGCCGCGUGCACCCGUGUCAAGUCUCCUCCCGUCGAGAUCACGAGACUCCGCGUGAGACCGAUCCGCGCUCAUGGCCGGUGCUGACAAAUCGCGGUAGCUUGACGUGAUCAAAAGCACCAGGUACGGUUACUGAUGCAUGCGAUACGAUUUGCCAGAUCGCUCACGGCCGUGCACUAGUUUUCUACCCUCUCGUGCCUCUCGUCAUGUUGUCCUUCCGCGCGUCGAGGCCUUUCGUUUCUCACCGCCAGGGCCGCUGACGCGGUGCGUGUGCUUGUGUUUUCUUCUCUGCCUGCAGGUCGUUACCAACUUGGAAACCGCCAGCGAUCAUUGACAACGACUCCGAGGGUCGAACGCGUGAGCUCGUAAUAACAGGCAGGACGCUGAAUGCUCACCCUCAUCAGCCUCAGCCACACCGUUUGAAUCUUUCAACCAUCCGUGUGGAUUGCUA
rnacentral:lncRNA from 1 species